rnacentral:rRNA from 1 species
UUAAAUAAGCAAGAGCGUACGGCGGAUGUCUUGGCAUAUAGAGCAGAAGAAGGACGCAGUGAACGGCGAAACGCCUCGGGGAGUCGUAAACAGGCAACGAUCCGGGGGUAUCCGAAUGGGGAAACCCGCCUGAAGUAAUGUUCAGGCAUCCUGGCGGAAUACAUAAAGCCAGAGAAGAGAACCCAGGGAAUUGAAACAUCUUAGUACCUGGAGGAAAAGAAAACAAGAGUGAUUCCGAGAGUAGUGGCGAGCGAAAUCGGAGCAGCCUAAACCAGUCUUAGGGCUGGGGUUGAAGGACCGCGAAAAGUUAUGAGCGAAGGAUAGUCGAAGUGCAUUGAAAGGCACAGCGAAGAGGGUGCAGCUCCCGUAGACGAAAUCCGAAGCGAGGCGAGCGGGAUCCUGAGUACGACGGGGCACGUGGAACCCUGUCGGAAGCAACCGGGACCAUCCGGUAAGGCUAAAUACUCCUAUAUGACCGAUAGUGCACCAGUACCAUGAGGGAAAGAUGAAAAGAACCGCGGGAGCGGAGUGAAAGAGAUCCUGAAACCGUAUGCUUACAAGAAGUCAGAGCACAUUCAUGUGUGAUGGCGUGCCUUUUGUAGAAUGAACCGGCGAGUUAUCCUUGCAUGCGAGGUUAAGCAGACAAUGCGGAGCCGCAGCGAAAGCGAAUCUUAACAGGGUGUUAAGUAUGCAGGGAUAGACCCGAAGCUGUAGUGAUCUAGUCAUGAGCAGGUUGAAGGUUGGGUGAUUCCAACUGGAGGACCGAACCGACCCUCGUUGAAAAGCUGGCGGAUGACUUGUGAUUAGCGGAGAAAUUCCAAUCGAACGCAGCGAUAGCUGGUUCUCCCCGAAAUAGCUUUAGGGCUAGCGUUGGGUGAAACUUGAUGGAGGUAGAGCACUGAAUUCAUGCGGGUGGCAUCUAGCCAUACCAAUUGAAAUCAAACUCCGAAUGCCAUGAAGCAAUACCCGGCAGUCAGACUGCGAGUGAUAAGGUCCGUGGUCAAAAGGGAAACAGCCCAGAUCAUCAGAUAAGGUCCCAAAAUCUAUGCUAAGUGGGAAAGGAUGUGGAGACGCAUAAACAGCUAGGAGGUUGGCUCAGAAGCAGCCAUCCUUGAAAGAGUGCGUAACAGCUCACUAGUCGAGUAUCUCUGCGCCGAAAAUUUACCGGGGCUAAGCAUAGUACCGAAUCUAUGGAUUUGAUGCAAAUCAAGUGGUAGGGGAGCGUUCCGGACCGCAUUGAAGCGAUACCGUAAGGAGUCGUGGAGCGUCCGGAAGUGAGAAUGCCGGUGUGAGUAGCGAGAUGCAGGUGAGAAUCCUGCACAGCGUAUGUCCAAGGUUUCCAGGGGAAGGUUCGUCCGCCCUGGGUAAGCCGGGAACUAAGGCGAGGCCGAGAGGCGUAGCCGAUGACGAGCAGGUUGAUAUUCCUGCGCCCGCGCACGAAAUGAUGGAGUGACAGAGAAGGUUAGUACUAGUCCUUAAUGGAUUGGGCAGGGCAUGUGUAUAGCAGGCUGACAGGCAAAUCCGUCAGCGGAAUGGAAGACAUGAACCAAGCGAACGCGCAAGCAAGUAGUGAAAUGUACGAUACCAGCUCUCAGGAAAAGCUUCUAGUGUUAAUUCGUGAGCGGCCCGUACCAAAACCGACACAGGUGGACGAGGCGAGUAGCCUCAGCUGAGCGAGAGAACUGUUGCCAAGGAACUCUGCAAUUUGACCCCGUACGUUAGCUAUAAGGGGUACUCGAAAGAGUCACAGUAAAUAGGCCCUAGCAACUGUUUAACUAAAACAUAGCUCUCUGCUAAGCCGUAAGGCGAAGUAUAGGGGGUGACACCUGCCCGGUGCUGGAAGGUCAAAAGGAUGUGUCAGGAGCAAUCCGAAGCGCUGAAUUGAAGCCCCAGUGAACGGCGGCCGUAACUAUAACGGUCCUAAGGUAGCGAAAUUCCUUGUCAGGUAAGUUCUGACCCGCACGAAAGGUGUAAUGAUUUGGGCACUGUCUCGGCAGCAGACUCGGUGAAAUCUUAGUACCUGUGAAGAUGCAGGUUACCCGCAACUAGACGGAAAGACCCCAUGGAGCUUUACUGUAGUCUGCUAUUGAGUUUCGGUUAACUAUGCACAGAAUAGGUGGGAGACAUUGAGACUGGUCCUUCGGGAUCAGAGGAGUCACCGUUGGGAUACCACUCUUAUUUAACUGAAAUUCUAACUAUAUACCGUAAACCGGGUAUGGGACCGUGGCAGAUGGGCAGUUUGACUGGGGCGGUCGCCUCCCAAAGAGUAACGGAGGCGCUCAAAGGUACUCUCAGAAUGGUUGGAAAUCAUUCGUCGAGCGUAAAUGCAGAAGAGUGCUUGACUGCGAGACAAACAGGUCGAGCAGGGACGAAAGUCGGAAUUAGUGAUCCGGCGGUGCAGAAUGGAAUGGCCGUCGCUUAACGGAUAAAAGCUACCCUGGGGAUAACAGGCUGAUCUCCCCCAAGAGUUCACAUCGACGGGGAGGUUUGGCACCUCGAUGUCGGCUCAUCGCAUCCUGGAGGUGAAUUCGCUUCCAAGGGUUGGGCUGUCCGCCCAUUAAAGCGGUACGCGAGCUGGGUUCAAAACGUCGUGAGACAGUUUGGUCCCUAUCUGUUGUGGGCGUUGGAAGUUUGAGGAGAGCUGUCCCUAGUACGAGAGGACCAGGAUGGACGUUCCUACGGUGCACCAGUUGUCACGCCAGUGGCACAGCUGGAUAGCUGAGAACGGCUGAGAUAAACGCUGAAGGCAUCUAAGCGCGAAACCAACUCCAAGAUGAGACUUCCCUUCGAAAGAAAUAAGACCCCUUGAAGACGACGAGGUUGAUAGGUCAGAGGUGUAAGUGCCGUGAGGCAUUGAGCUGACUGAUCCUAAUAGGUCGAAGAUUUAAUCAC